UUCGUGGGUUUCUUCUUCCCCCCCCCAAAAGAAGAAAAAAUGAUAAGAUACGUGUUAAAUACUGCUUUGAACAUUCUCCAGUGGACUCAGAUGCAGAUACAGCGUGCACACCAAGAACUGAGUCCUCAACACCACCAAGAACUGAGUCCUCAACACCACCAAGAACUGAGUCCUCAACACCACCAAGAACUGAGUCCUCAACACCAACAGGAACUGGGUCCUCAAGAGCAGGCUCUUCAACACCUCAGAACCAGCCAGCACGCCAACGAUCCACCAUAUCCUCUGGCUCAGAAUCAAACGUACGAACACCAACGAAAUUUGAGGCCAACGCACUAUCAUUUACAUUUACAUAUGUUCAAUAUAUAUAAUGCUGGAGUGUAGUGUAGUUUUUAGAAUUUUAGAAUUGGAAUUUUUUUAAGAUCAAUUUAGGUAACUUUUUUUAUGCGGGUGAAUAUUUACUUAGGGGCAUACUCACUAGAAUUAUAUACAUAUAUUCGGCAUAGACAAACAGGAUAGACAUACUGUAAAUUCGGCCAAUAAUUUGGAAUUCACCCGCCCACCCCCCUCCUGUGGUUGACGCCUUAUCGUGGCGGAGGGGUUUGCGCGCUCAAAGGAUUCUGGGAGCUGCAGUGUCCGGAGCCACGGCUGAAGAGGCUCCUGCGGGGUUUCCCACGGCAACGAAGGUCCCAGAGGAUGAGCCAGACCAAGAGCAACCAAGAGAACCUAUAGACGGACUUCGGUCUCAUUAUUUUCUCCAGUUACGGACAACAUUUAACCAUUCAUGAGAUGGAAUAUUUAUAUCAUUGUGUGCUAAUAUUUCAUUGUUUUAAAUGUAUGGUCACGCACUGUAAAAUAUAAAAUUAUUUUUGCAC
ensembl:lncRNA